UACGUAGGGGGCAAGCGUUGUCCGGAUUUAUUGGGCGUAAAGAGCGUGUAGGCGGCCAGGUAGGUCUGCUGUGAAAACUCGAGGCUUAACCUCGAGCUGUCGGCGGAAACCAUCUGGCUAGAGUCCGGAAGAGGAGAAUGGAAUUCCCGGUGUAGCGGUGAAAUGCGUAGAUAUUGGGAGGAACACCGGUGGCGAAGGCGGCUACCUGGACCGGUACUGACGCUGAGGCGCGAAAGCUAGGGUAGCAAACAGG
rnacentral:rRNA from 1 species